AUAUAUAUAUAUAUAUAUAUAUUGAACAAACAAACGUCUAAUAGCCAGUCACAAAAGAUGUUGAAUUUUCGAUUGUUGAUAUUUUGGAUAACCCUCCCAACUGUCUUCAGUCAGUAUUAUUUUGUAACAGUACCAAAUGUGAUACAUUUUGAACAUGACGAAACGGUGACGAUCAGUGUGUUUGGUCUAACAAAUACGGCUGUAAAGGUGUGGUGUCAGUUUGGUGAAGAGAUAUUUUCAGAAAAGACAGUCGUCGUUCAGGAUGAAGAACAUCCGGUAACAACUAUAAUUACGGUAACAGAGGACGACGUGUUUGAUUCAAAGACCAUAGAGAAACCAAGAACAAUUCAGAUCAUGUCAGAAUGUCAAGGUCAGACCAAAUCGAAAGACGUGAGCCUCAGUUACAACACCGGAUUCCUAAUCGUACAGACGGACAAACCUAUAUACGCACCGGAUCAAAAAGUAACUGUAACCAUAAUUGCCUUAGACGAAUCAAAGAAGUCCGAAACUACACGUGCAGUUGGGUUUGACUUAACAAGUCCUUCCAAUAUAACUUUAGCAAGAAGAAUUUUAUUUCAUGGAAGGGGCGGAAUUUUCAAGCACCAGUUUUUGUUGCCGCCACAUCCUGAGAAAGGUGUUUGGUCUGCCAGGUCCUUUUAUCUAGGGAAGUUCGAGACUGAAGAACAAACACAGUUUAUUGUGGGAGAACAUGAACGUCCACCAUUUUCUGUAACAAUCGAUGUUGACGUUCCUUGUAUAUUGCCUGACACGGUCAACGUAAGGAUAGAUGUUAGAGCUAAGUACUUUCACGGAAAACCCGUGCACGGUACUGUUAGUCUAACCCUUCUGUUAAGAGAUAGACUUGAUGCCAGGAAACUGUUAUUUGAAAGUAGUCACAAUGUCUUAGGAAGAGAUUGGGGAGGAUACAGUGUGAAGACGUUUGACAUUAAUGUGACUAAAAUAUUAAACUCGGAACACCUGCUGGACACUGAUUUUCCUGAGAAAAGUCGGCUUGAAGUAAAGGCUACAGUGUAUGACACUGCACUAACAAAAGAAGUUACUAAGACACACUAUGGCACAAUAUUUGCUCGAAAUCCCUAUGUCUUCAAGUUUUCGAGAUCAAAACGGGUGUAUCUGCCAGGAUUUAGUUACUUUCUUAAGAUUGAUGUUACUUACGUAAAUGGCGAGCCUGCUGUUGGUAAAACAACCACAAUAAACAUGUUUAAAGGCGACGAGCUCUUGGAUAGCAAAGAAGAGACAACGGACAGUAGAGGGCGAAUAGUUACUCUGUUCCCUAUGUCCCCAGUUGCAGAUACGAUAACAUUUGUCGUGAACACGACAAGUUUUCAAAAGAGUGAACCAUUCAUCGUUGUACCACGUGCUGAAGCGAUGCAGGACCAGGUUCAAGUCGAAUAUAUACCGACAUAUGACGGCAAGUUUAUGCUGCGAAUUCUCACCAACAUGGCCCCAGUAAAAGAUUACACAGGACUCUUCCUCAUGGUCAUCAACGGAGACACUAUGAAAACAACUUACAAGAAGGCAGCCAAUCAAAUCAGCAUGGAUAUAUCUAAUGACGUAUUGCACCCACCUCUGGGAAACACCAUUCGACUUCUGGCUUUUUAUGUUGACAAAAAUAACCACGAAGUGGUGGCGGAUUCUGUACAGUUUCAGACAGAGAGCAGCUGUACUGCCGACAUGAUGUCAUUAGACGUGGACAAGAUGCGAGUCUAUCCUGGUACAAGGGAAAGAAUGUUAGUCCGUGGCAGUCCUUUCACGUGGGUUUCAAUACACGCUACUGACGCUGCCGUAACGUCCAUGUAUGAAAAUCAUGUCUCUAUGAACGAUAUGAUUUUGUCUGUUCUUGAGUCACAUGACCGUGGAUGUGGACAGGGUGGAGGAAGAAACAGCGCUGAAGUGUUUCAGACAACGGGACUGACUGUUUUGACUAACGCUGUUGUCAAUGGUGACGGCUUGCAGCAACAUGCCAGUGGAUGUGAUGUUAUCAGUAGAGCUAAACGAGAAACUAGUAUGUUUAGCAGCAAUGACCGUGAGAUGCCAAAUUACGUGGAAUACCUUAAUUCAUACGGUUUCCGACCCUACACACGAUCAGAUAUGAGAGAAACACUUGCAUUGGAUCCAGUACAGCUUGACAGCGAAGGAGAAAGAGAUAUUAAUCUUAGGUACCCUGACACUGUAACCUCGUGGAAUAUUCAAGCAAUAGGUAUAACAGAAGAUCAAGGACUGUGUUUGGCCAAUCCAGUUGAAGUACAAUCGUUCAGAUCCUUCUUCGUGCAACUUGAGUUACCUUAUAAGGCGAAAAGACUAGAAAGUGUUGAAGCCAAAGUUACCGUAUACAACUAUGGUAUUGAGACAGACGACCCGUAUACGGUAAUUGUCAAUAUAUACCUGGAAAGCGAUGUAAACAUAUGUUACCAUGGAAACCCUGGGACCCCAACUUCACCAACUCAGGUUGAUUUACCACCUAACAGCGUACAGACGAUACGGUUCCCUGUUACCCCGGUAACCAAAGGGUUGUUGCCAAUUAAGGUGACGGCAGUUACAAUACACACGGGCAUUCCAGUAGCGGACACUGUCCAGAGAAAACUGCUGGUUGUGAGUGAAGGUGUAGAGGAACAUGUACCAAUACAAGUUUGUCUUGAUCCGUACAGACAGUUAGAAGACUGUACACAUGACGUCAGGGUAAUCAGUGACACUGUAGUACAUUCACAUGUCUUAGAACAAGUGCUGACCUUGAACCUAACCUUGCCGGCAUCUAGUAUACCAGGCUCAGGAACUGCCACGGCAUACAUGCAAAGUUCCUUGAUGAAUGAUAUUGUUACAACAACACUAGAGGGUGCGGAGAGGCUGAUGAGGCAGCCUAUUGGGAGCUUUGAGACGACCAUUGCGCAGCUCGCUAACACAGUAUACUCUCUAUAUUACUUAGAAGAGACCAAUCAACUUACGUCUGAAGUUGAGACAAAAGCCUUAAGCUGGAUAUCUAACGGUAUAGAGAGAUCAAAACAGUUUAGACACACGGAUAGAUCAUUUUCUACUUGGUCAACCAGAGCUUCAAGUACCUGGCUUACAGCAUUUGCAGCCAAAGUGGGUUGUCAUCUACAGCAUAAUGGUUAUCGCAAGAGCCAUGAUCUAUUUUCUGUACUCCUAGUUAAACCAUGGUUUGAGGAAAACAUACAAGAAGAUGGACAGUUCGUUGAAAACAUGUCCCCAGUUUAUAGAGAAAAUGUGUAUGGUUCAUUGGAAAUGAAAGGUCCCUCGUUUACUGCUAACGUGCUGGUGGCACUGCUAGAGUGUUCGCGCACAUUGGGCAGCAUGUACAGGAACAGGAACUCCAUUCAUAAUAUAUAUUCUGGGGAAGUCUCGGAGAAGAUUCUGUCAGCUCCGAGGAUGUAGAAACAACCGCCUACGCUCUCUUGGCAAUGCUUGAACUUGACGAUCUCAGAACAAGCGCUUAUAUUGUUAGAUGGUUAACCGAUAAAAGAAAAGAUGUCAAAUCUUUCAAAAAUAUGCAGGAGACGAGUAUCUGUCUCCAAGCUCUCACUGCCUAUAGUCAGCGAGCAAAGAAUACUGAUGCUGAUACAGAUUUAGAAGUUUCGUUGUCAGGAUAUACAUAUCGUCUCACCAAAGAAAAAACGUUCCAUUCAAUUAG
rnacentral:misc_RNA from 1 species